rnacentral:rRNA from 1 species
GACGAACGCUGGCGGCGUGCUUAACACAUGCAAGUCGAACGGUGAACCGGAGCUUGCUCCGGGGAUCAGUGGCGAACGGGUGAGUAACACGUGGGCAAUCUGCCCCUAGCUCUGGGAUAACCCCGGGAAACCGGGGCUAAUACCGGAUACGACCCUGACCGGCAUCGGUCGGGGUGGAAAGGUUUACUGGCUAGGGAUGAGCCCGCGGCCUAUCAGCUUGUUGGUGGGGUAACGGCCCACCAAGGCGACGACGGGUAGCCGGCCUGAGAGGGGGACCGGCCACACUGGGACUGAGACACGGCCCAGACUCCUACGGGAGGCAGCAGUGGGGAAUAUUGCGCAAUGGGCGAAAGCCUGACGCAGCGACGCCGCGUGAGGGACGAAGGCCUUCGGGUUGUAAACCUCUUUCAGCAGGGACGAAGCGAAAGUGACUGUACCUGCAAAAGAAGCACCGGCUAACUACGUGCCAGCCGCCGCGGUAAAAC